UACGUAGGGGGCAAGCGUUGUCCGGAAUUAUUGGGCGUAAAGAGCGCGUAGGCGGUCCGAUAAGUCGGCUGUGAAAGUCCAGGGCUCAACCCUGGAAAGCCGGCCGAUACUGUCGGACUAGAGUCCGGAAGAGGCAAGUGGAAUUCCCGGUGUAGCGGUGAAAUGCGCAGAUAUCGGGAGGAACACCAGUGGCGAAGGCGACUACCUGGCCUGUUCUUGACGCUGAGGCGCGAAAGCUAGGGAGCAAACGGG
rnacentral:rRNA from 1 species